rnacentral:rRNA from 1 species
GGGGGAAUAUUGGACAAUGGGCGCAAGCCUGAUCCAGCCAUGCCGCGUGUGUGAAGAAGGCCUGUUGGUUGUAAAGCACUUUAAGCGAGGAGGAGGCUACUUGGAUUAAUACUCUAGGAUAGUGGACGUUACUCGCAGAAUAAGCACCGGCUAACUCUGUGCCAGCAGCCGCGGUAAUACAGAGGGUGCGAGCGUUAAUCGGAUUUACUGGGCGUAAAGCGUGCGUAGGCGGCUUCUUAAGUCGGAUGUGAAAUCCCUGAGCUUAACUUAGGAAUUGCAUUCGAUACUGGGAAGCUAGAGUAUGGGAGAGGGUGGUAGAAUUCCAGGUGUAGCGGUGUAAUGCGUAGAGAUCUGGAGGAAUACCGAUGGCGAAGGCAGCCAUCUGGCCUAAUACUGACGCUGAGGUACGAAAGCAUGGGGAGCAAACAGG